GGGCGAGUGAUGGAACUGGUAGACAUAACAGUCUUAGAAGCUGUCGUUUUAAAGCGUAGGGGUUCAAGUCCCCUUUCGCCCACCA
rnacentral:tRNA from 1 species